UGACACAGCAAUUUCAGCUAUUCAUGGGGUUAGUUCUGGGAGUCUCUUUAUCAGUAGGAUAUUUGAUCUGGAAAGACUUUUCAACAAUCCUGUUUUUAAGAGUAGUCAGAAGAAAUGUUCUUAGCUUUCUUCAGCGCUAGGAGCAAUCCUGCCAUCCUGGGAGCAGUUAUCCUGCAUCCAAGAGGAGCCUUCACUUCUACUUUUUCCUCCUCGAAGGAGACUGUGGCCUGAUCUUCAUGGUUUUGGACCAAGUCCCUCGGCUGUACUCCUGGUGGAAAAAUUACAUCCUGUUCUGUGACUUUCAAAUCUCAAAUGCAGAUGUGUCAUUCCUUAGAAACAUCACAGGAGUUAUUUGCUCAGAGAGAAUCAAAUUUGUGUGAAUUCAUUAAGUCAAACAGGACCAUAAGUAUGCAUGAUGAACCAUAUGUUUGCCUAAAGAAGUGCUGAAUCAAGUGAACGAAUGUUUUCACAAAUAAAUAAAUGUGUACACAAAUGACAUCAUACACAUCAUUAACAGAGAUAGUAUGAAUCCCUUCUAAAAUCCAAUCCCUUUAUCUAUCCAUAAACUGGAGAACCAACUUAAUUAAACUGUAGUAAGUUACUUUCCACUGAAAAAUCAUUCAUGAAUACAUCCUCCUGCCACAGAUCUCAAAAAAAUGAGCCCUGAACUGUCACAUAAGCCUUUGAUUAGGAAAAGUAAAUACGCAUACACACUAAAACUAAAACAGACUUAGCUUUUUUAUAAGCUUUUACAGUCUCAUCAAAAAUACAGAAGCAACAGCUGGGAGUUUUAACAUAUGUCCUACUUACAGUGCACAGCUUCCAUUCAACUGUAGAACAGAUAUAAUUAUGUUCAUUAGGUUUUGUGAGAUUUAAUUAAUAUUUGUAUAAGUCUUCGAUAUACCUAGUUAUAAAUCAGGAUUAAGGUCAGAAGUUUUAAUUACUUCAUCUUCUCUCAUGGGUAUCUUUCCAUAUUAUUAAGAUAUUUUCCUUCUAUUCUGAUGAGUAUUUGAAAUCUAAAAGAUUAGGGGCUUCAGCACCUGUCUGCAGGAUACCCUCUCUAGUUUCAGCUGAUAUCACAAAUAUCACACUCAUUAAGCUACAAAUGUGCCCAGUUUUACUUUAAAAGAGCAGAUGUUUAAGAAUUGGGACUUUCCAAGCUCCAUGUGGCAUUAGCCCAACAGUAAAUUCUUUAUCUACAACUGUGAAAGCAUCAUGUUCCUGGGAGAAGUUAGAGGACAAGGGAAGUCUGUGGAAUGAAGCCUGAGAUGGAAAGAUGUAAAAAUGAUCAUACAUCUGUAAGUAAGUAUAUUUGCAAACUGGAAGGAAAUAUAACUAUCACUUAGUCCCACAACUCAUUUGCGUGUUAGCUUUUAUCUGUUUCUAGGAUUUGCUGUCAUAUUUUAUACAAGUAUAUGCAUUUUGGAGACUGGUUGUGUUCACGUUCAGGUUGUUGUUAAGUACAGGAACAUGACAGCAGCUGCAUUAGGUCAAGUCAAAGAUCCAUAUCAUUAGCACUGUCUCACACUGCCUAGAGAAAGCAGAUGUCCAGAAAAUAAUGCAAGACAGGGCAAGCAUAUUGGAUACUUCCCUCUGAGAGCCUCUAGCCACUUGCAAUGCUGAGCCAGACAUCAUUUCUAUGUGUUUAGUAAUCCUUGAUGGACAUUUUCUUCUUCAUCUUCAAUGUGUCUGGUCAAUUUCAAACAAUGCAAAAUUUCCCUGAACAUUGGAGGCUGCAAAGAUUGAACUACUGUCACACUCUAACAGGUGAGACCCCUGUUUUACUUCAGUGGUAGAAGUAGAGUGGUUUAGACUUUAAAUUACUCUAAGAAAGCAAUUAUCUGCUUCUAUAUUGAAGGCCAUAAAAUAAUUAUUUCUAUGCAAAACUUACUGCACACAGAAUGUACAAAUAGAGCAACAGUAUUUUCAACAGUAUUUUUUCAUACUUAGAAUAGAUAUGUUAUUUUGAUUAGGAGCAUCUGCUAUCUGUAUGGUAUACUGGAUGCACUGGAACUUGAUAAUGUAUCACUGUAAUAGCAAUAGGUAUCAUCAGUGAUGUAUAGAUACUAUAUGAAGGAAGAAAAUUGGCAUGGCUCUAAAGGUUGAUGUAUCAAUUAUGUGUCAUCCCUAUGGAUGGAAAUUCCAUUCCUAUGUAAGAAUAUAAUAACAGUGCAAUGUGACCAGCGUGGGGAUGGUGACCAGGAACCUUGAAGGACAAAGUAGCACACAUGUUGAAGGCCUGAAAACUCAGGCCAGGAUUGCAGAACGUAAAGAAUAUCAAGGAGAAUGGAGAAAAAAAGUGUGAAAGCAAAAGAGCUAAAUGAAUUAAUCUUUUGCACUGUUGCUUAUGAAAAAAGGAAAAAGGAGCUUGAGGAAACUCUGACCAAAAGGGGAUAAAUUUGAGGAGUUUUCAGCUUGCGAUGUCCAUAGAACUUACUUAAGAAGAAAAUAGCAAAAGGAGCAGUAAUAUAUUCUGACAAUUAGGGAGGCCAAAUAAAGUUGUCUGGCACGAGGCCCAAAAUAGACAAAAGGAACACUGUUUCUCAGAAUAUAUAACAUAAUUUUGGAACUCACUGUUGCCCCACUUAGUAAAUGCAAAAUUAUUAAUGGGUUCACAAGGUAAUUAUUACAGCGAUAAAAGAUACUCACUGAAGGCUAUUAAGCAAAGUUGUACUGAUGCAAUCUCAAACUCAAGAAGUGUCUAAACCGUAAAUAGAUGAGAGUUGGCAGUAUGUACCACAAGAAUCGUCACUCUACACUUGCACCGUUUCCUAAGCACCUACUCAUGAUCAUCACUGAAGACAAGAUGGUGUGUUAGGUGGGUCUCUGGUCUGAUACAGUUCAGCUGCUCUUGUGUUCCAGGUACUCCAGCAAGAGGUAGAUGGUACCAUCAUUUUUGCAAUUAUAUUCUUUAUAAUAAAUUUGCUUUAUUAUAAAGAAAAAGAGGCUUCUUAUAUUUUUAUCUCCAAGAUUAAUCUGUGCAAGAAACUUCACAUAAUUAAUAAGAGAAGAUACAUGUUUCCACUCUGACGGGCUGUGAAUGUCAUAAUUUCUUUUGAAAAUAAGGAAUGUAUUGUACAUAGAAAAAGAAAAAGACAAUUAAGAGAGUGAUUAUUUCUGUUUGUACAGUAGUUAAAAAUUGCCACACAAAUAUUAUUUGUGAUCUUCAUUCAUACUGUGGUGGAAAGAUACAGCUGUUACAACAAAGCAGAUAAGUAUGGAGUGAAAUAGGAAACAUUUUCUGGGAAAAAAGUCAAAAUCUGUAUUAUGUAAACUGUAUUCUCUGAUGAGAUGAGCUUCUUUCUUCUUCCUCAGCCCUGUUUCAUUUUAUAGGAUUUUUUCAGUAUCUGUAGUCAAAAGAUGACUUUUUGUUUUAUGCAAACAGUAUGUAUUCUAGUAUGCAAGAUGCACAAAUAUUGGGCUGGUGUAUAUGAAUAUAGGAGACAUUUGUGUGUUUUGUGUUAAUGUAUGAAGUACUGAAAUGUUUCUACGGAGACUUUGAAGACAGAUUUC